AUGACAAUGGAGUUACCGCAACAGAAUCGCGCAACUGGUCAGAAAAAAGAUGGCGAUGAGAAGAAGAAACAUUAUCGCAAUAGGGCUUCGCAAGAACACCUAACUAUAUUGACCGAGGGAUUUACUGAUGAGCAGAAGGGAGCUGCUGGUGAGAUGGGGACGCAUGCUCUGAUGGAUAUUCGGUGCAAGAACCUAGUGAACCCUGUAUGCGUCUGGCUUGGUGAGAUUUAUGAUCCUGCCUCCAGGGAAUUCGUGAUUCCGGGACGUGGAAGACUGCCUUUGGAUGAGGAAUUCACGUUCUGCACUUGGGGUGUGCCCCGUGGAGAAAUCAAAGUCCUAUAUGAGGUGAACAAUAAGAUCGAGGAAGCCUUGUUCGCCCAUUUGUUUCCUGGGAUGGCAUCCAUGCCGAAUACGACUAUGCUGGCAACUUCGCUGGAGGGCAUGAAAACCCAUCGCGAGGUUAUUAAGAUGAAGCUCCUCAUGUACCUAAUCUUAGCUGUUUUGCGCCUACCACAUCUCUUCGCCCAAGCAACAAGUGCUUCCCCAUCCUGGCAAAGCUGA
rnacentral:rRNA from 1 species